rnacentral:rRNA from 1 species
UACGUAGGUGGCAAGCGUUAUCCGGAAUUACUGGGCGUAAAGCGCACGCAGGCGGCGCAGCAAGUUCGACGUGAAAGCUCCCGGCUUAACUGGGAGAGGUCGUUGAAGACUGCUGUGCUUGAGGCAAUGAGAGGGGUGUAGAAUUCCCGGUGUAGUGGUGGAAUGCGUAGAUAUCGGGGGGAAUACCAGUGGCGAAAGCGGCACCCUAGCAUUAGCCUGACGCUCAUGUGCGAAAGCGUGGGGAGCGAACGGGAUUAGAUACCCCGGUAGUCCACGCUGUAAACGAUGAACACUAGGUGUAGGUGAUGUGAAAGUUAUCUGUGCCGAAGCAAACGCGUUAAGUGUUCCGCCUGGGGAGUACGGCCGCAAGGCUAAA